UGGGGAAUAUUGGACAAUGGGCGAAAGCCUGAUCCAGCCAUGCCGCGUGUGUGAAGAAGGUCUUCGGAUUGUAAAGCACUUUAAGUUGGGAGGAAGGGCAGUAAGCGAAUACCUUGCUGUUUUGACGUUACCGACAGAAUAAGCACCGGCUAACUCUGUGCCAGCAGCCGCGGUAAUACAGAGGGUGCAAGCGUUAAUCGGAAUUACUGGGCGUAAAGCGCGCGUAGGUGGUUCGUUAAGUUGAAUGUGAAAGCCCCGGGCUCAACCUGGGGACUGCAUCCAAAACUGGCGAGCUAGAGUAGGGCAGAGGGUGGUGGAAUUUCCUGUGUAGCGGUGAAAUGCGUAGAUAUAGGAAGGAACACCAGUGGCGAAGGCGACCACCUGGGCUCAUACUGACACUGAGGUGCGAAAGAGUGGGGAGCAAACAGG
rnacentral:rRNA from 1 species